UCACCUUGUACGGGCCAACAUAC
rnacentral:siRNA from 1 species